rnacentral:lncRNA from 1 species
AGAAACAGAAGAUCUAGUGUAAGAUUACAUAAUAUGUGGUAUAAUGUGUAUUGGCAGAUCUGUCAAUCAGAAAGUACAUUCCCAAGAAAAUUCAAAAGUUCAAACAAUGAGGUCUGUUAAAAUAAUUUUAGUUUUUGGUGAUAAACAUGGGAUCAUUUGUCGGUAUAUUAUACAGUAAGUUUCAUCUACAUGACAAAUAAUACUAACUCGGCAAGCUAUUUGGAGAAUAAACAACCUAACAACAAGUGCUCAACAAAGGGAUACCGCCUCCAUGAAAAUAAAGAAGGUGCAGAAAGUUGCUGGACAUAUCUUAUUGGAAAGGAGAAUUAGUCUUAUCUUGAAUGUUAUUGAUUUUGUUCAUUUAUCCAUGAAAAUAAAGAAGGUGCAGAAAGUUGCUGGACAUAUCUUAUUGGAAAGGACAAAGCUAAGAUUUGCAUGCAGAAUCCUAAAGUAUUCAGUUUGAAUAGAAAAAAACGUUGUAACCAAGGCUUCUAGGUUCCUAAAAGCUCGUACAUCCAGUAGAAACAGUCGAAAUAAAUAUACACUAGUUCUUUAGAUUGUCGAUAAAACACAAUUUAUGUAGUAACAACAUUAGUUUUGACAUAAAAGCCCCUACAGGGCAACAGUACCUAAGUACCUAACCCUAUGACUAAUACCUCUUACCAUAGAAAAGUAAGAUUUACUUUUCCAGAACAAGAAAUCUACUUUCUCUCACUUGGUUUACCGUUUAGCUUCAGUAUUCAUAUGAUUUACCCUCCCAGAAACCAAAAUAACUGGAAACUGAGGGCAAUGCAGAUAAAGCGACCACUUGAGACUAAAUGGCACUUCAGAGUUCAGAGCAACAACAUGAUGAUCCAUAGCUUCAUGCCGUGCAGUACAUCACGUUGCAUACAUUUAUCUAUUACUUAAGCCCUAAUUAUAUUUUUGUUCAGAUAAAUGAGAUCAUUUAAGGACU